AACGUAGGACGCAAGCGUUAUCCGGAGUUACUGGGCGUAAAGCGCGGGCAGGCGGUCUCGCCAGUCUGGUGUGAAAUCUCUCAGCUCAACUGAGAGCAGCCACUGGAAACUACGAGACUGGAGUCUGGCAGAGGUAGGCGGAAUUCCGGGUGGAGUGGUGAAAUGCGUAGAGAUCCGGAGGAACACCAGAGGCGAAGGCGGCCUACUGGGCCAGUACUGACGCUGAGCCGCGAAAGCCAGGGGAGCGAACGGG
rnacentral:rRNA from 1 species